rnacentral:rRNA from 1 species
UACGUAGGGUGCGAGCGUUGUCCGGAAUUACUGGGCGUAAAGAGCUCGUAGGUGGUUUGUCGCGUUGUUCGUGAAAACUCACAACUCAAUUGUGGGCGUGCGGGCGAUACGGGCAGACUGGAGUACUGCAGGGGAGACUGGAAUUCCUGGUGUAGCGGUGGAAUGCGCAGAUAUCAGGAGGAACACCGGUGGCGAAGGCGGUGGUCUGGGCCGGCACUGACGCUGAGGAGCGAAAGCGUGGGGAGCGAACAGG